AAUAAAUACAAUACCAAGGCUGGGCCCUGGAGGCGGAAGAGGAAGCCUGGCUGCCUGCCUGCGGGGCCUGGCCUGGGCGGGGCGCCUUCCCCGCGGACUACAAGUCCCGUCCUGCCCCGGGGCCGGGGCGGGGCGUGGCUUCCGGCGGGCGGGCGGGCCUUCUCAGCCCUGAAGGGACGGACGGCGAGGCGCGGGAGGAGGACGGCGGUGGCGGCGGCGUCGCCUGAGGAGACGUCUCGGGACGGAGCGAGGCCUCCCGACAGGCAGGCGGGCAGCAUUUGCUCUGGAAGUCAGGAUGUCUCAGGAAAUGGAAGAUAGUAUUGGUGAGUGUCGGUUUAAUUUUCAAACCCAUUUUUAUUAUGUCUCCUCUUCCUGAUCAUCACAAAUUUUAAGUGUGAAUCUGAACACAGUGGGAACCCAGAGCCAUGAGCUGGUAUACAAUGGGAGCCCAGAGCUGCAGGCUAAUAUAGUUUGCUGAGGUUGCCAAGUCACUGCUGACACACACACACACACUUUUUUUUCUGUUGGUAGUAAUGAAAUUAGUGUGUUCCUUACAACCAAUUGUGUCUUAUUAAAGAAACAUGGUAUGUCCUUUAAGUGAAAUUAGAUUUUGUAGACAUGUUGGUCUGGCAAUCAGAUCUAUUUGAGAUAAAUAAAUCUCUCCAUUGGCAUGAAUACCAAUAGUGUGUGUGUGUGUUUGUGUAUGUAUGUAUGUAUAUAUAUAUAUGUGUGUGUGUGUAUGUGUAUACGCAUGCACACACACACACACAUGAAUAUAUAUAAUAUUAAUAUUAAUAAUAAUAUUAUGUUGUAAUACAAUGUAAUAAUAAUUAUAAUUCACUAUUAUAAUUGUAUAUUUAUAUUACAUGCAAUAUUACUAAUAAUAUUGCAAUAUAGUUGUAUAAUAUAAUAUAUUGAUGUAUAUAUACUUGUAAACCGCCCUGAGUCCCCUUCGGGGUGAGAAGGGCGGUAUAUAAAUGUUGCAAAUAAAUAAAUAAAUAAUAAUAUUCCUUUAAAAAGAACAGCCAUUUGCAAAAAGCUGGUGUAAAGGAGAAUCUGUUGUCUGUCAACCAGGUUUUUAAGCAGAAAUGUGGGCAGUGAGUGUUGUUUUGUGAUAGCCUUUGUCUAUUAUCCCAGAGCUUGGGAAUUAGGAGGCACUGUUCUGCAGAGUGGGGUGCAAGUGCCCAUUAUGGAAAGGGUUUGUUCUGGAGAGGCCAGCUUAGGACACGGCAGAAUUCGGUCUCUAAGAUUCUAAUGACUUGGUUGGCAUAGCUUCAGCUUCCUGUCUGUGCUGGAGUCUGUGCACUGAAAUAUCUUCAUGCUGGUUCUCCCAAAGGCAGUAGAGUUGCUACUGUGCAUUCCCACUGCUCUUUUAAUUAAAUGAAUUUCCACUGAUGGUGUCCUCUCUUAUCUGGUGUAUAAUGAUCUAAGGAGAAGCUUAGUGUUCAUGGCUGAACAAGUCCUGUCUCUGAGGCAUUUAUCAUCUUACAGUGCCUUUGUGAUAUAGCCACUGUAUUUGCAAACCUUUUCUGCCUGAAUAUAAACAGUUAAAGCAAAAAUACUCCUGUAAGUGGCUUAUCUCCCUUCAUGCAAUGUUAAAAUAGCCACUUUGAGGAUAUAAGUUUUCAAUAGUUGAAGACAAUCAUUUUACAAUUAAUAACCCCAGGGAACUGUUCUCUCG
ensembl:lncRNA